rnacentral:rRNA from 1 species
GAUGAACGCUAGCUACAGGCUUAACACAUGCAAGUCGAGGGGUAACGAGAGGAAAGCUUGCUUUCCUUGUCGACGACCGGCGCACGGGUGAGUAACGCGUAUCCAACCUGCCCCCAACUAGGGAAUAACCUUGCGAAAGUAAGACUAAUACCCUAUAAUUUCCUCAGAUGUCAUCUGACGAGGAAUAAAGAUUUAUCGGUUGUGGAUGGGGAUGCGUCUGAUUAGCUUGGUGGCGGGGUAACGGCCCACCAAGGCAACGAGCAGUAGGGGUUCUGAGAGGAAGGUCCCCCAGAGUGAAGAGGGGGCACGGUCAAAACGCCGACGGGAGGCAGCAUUGAGGAAUAUUGGUCAAUGUGCGGAAGACUGAACCAGCCAAGUAGCGUGCAGGAUGACGGACCUAUGGGUUGUAAACUGCUUUUAUACAGGAAUAAAGUUAGCCACGUGUGGUGAUUUGUAGGUACUGUAUGAAUAAGGACCGGCUAAUUCCGUGCCAGCAGCCGCAGUAA